AGAUUGAACGCUGGCGGCAUGCCUUACACAUGCAAGUCGAACGGCAGCACGGGAGCAAUCCUGGUGGCGAGUGGCGAACGGGUGAGUAAUAUAUCGGAACGUGCCCAGUCGUGGGGGAUAACGUAGAGAAAUUUACGCUAAUACCGCAUACGAUCCAAGGAUGAAAGCGGGGGACCGUAAGGCCUCGCGCGACUGGAGCGGCUGAUAUCAGAUUAGCUUGUUGGUGAGGUAAAAGCUCACCAAGGCGACGAUCUGUAGCUGGUUUGAGAGAACGACCAGCCACACUGGGACUGAGACACGGCCCAGACUCCUACGGGAGGCAGCAGUGGGGAAUUUUGGACAAUGGGCGAAAGCCUGAUCCAGCAAUGCCGCGUGCAGGAAGAAGGCCUUCGGUUGUAAACUGUCUUUGUACGGAGCGAAAAGGUCUGACCUAAUACGGCGACCCAUGACGGUACGUAAGAAUAAGCACCGGACUAACUACGUGCCAGCAGCCGUACG
rnacentral:rRNA from 1 species